AGCCGCGGUAAGACGAACCGUGCGAACGUUAUGCGGAAUCACUGGGCUUAAAGAGCGCGUAGGCGGCGGCGUUAGUCAGAGGUGAAAUACCACGGCUCAACCGUGGAAUUGCCCCUGAUACUGCGGCGCUCGAGGGAGGUAGGGGUCUGUGGAACUUCCGGUGGAGCGGUGAAAUGUGUUGGGAUCGGAAGGAACGCCAGUGGCGAAAGCGACAGACUGGAUCUUUUCUGACGCUGAGGCGCGAAAGCUAGGGUAGCGAAC
rnacentral:rRNA from 1 species